rnacentral:rRNA from 1 species
AUUGAACGCCGGCGGAAUGCUUUACACAUGCAAGUCGAACGGUAGAGGGGGCAACCCCUCGAGAGUGGCGAACGGGUGAGUAAUAUAUCGGAACGUGCCCAGUCGUGGGGGAUAACGUAGCGAAAGUUACGCUAAUACAGCAUACGAUCUAAGGAUGAAAGCGGGGGAUCGCAACACCUCGCGCGAUUGGAGCGGCCGAUAUCAGAUUAGGUAGUUGGUGGGGUAAAGGCUCACCAAGCCAACGAUCUGUAGCUGGUCUGAGAGGACGACCAGCCACACUGGAACUGAGACACGGUCCAGACUCCUACGGGAGGCAGCAGUGGGGAAUUUUGGACAAUGGACGCAAGUCUGAUCCAGCCAUUCCGCGUGCAGGAUGAAGGCCCUCGGGUUGUAAACUGCUUUUGUACGGAACGAAAAGGUCUCUCUUAAUACGGGGGACUCAUGACGGUACCGUAAGAAUAAGCACCGGCUAACUACGUGCCAGCAGCCGCCGUAA